CCUACGGGGCGCAGCAGUGAGGAAUAUUGGUCAAUGGCCGGAAGUCUGAACCAGCCAAGCCGCGUGAAGGACGAAGGUGCCAAGCAUUGUAAACUUCUUUUGUCAAGGGACAAAAUCAGGCUCGAGAGCCUGACCGAGGGUACUUGAAGAAAAAGCAUCGGCUAACUCCGUGCCAGCAGCCGCGGUAAUACGGAGGAUGCGAGCGUUCUCCGGCUUUAUUGGGUUUAAAGGGUGCGUAGUCGGGCUGUUAAGUCAGCGGUAAAAGCCCGGGGCUCAACCCCGGCGAGCCGUUGAAACUGGCUGUCUUGAGAUGUCGAGAGGUAUGCGGAAUGCGCAGUGUAGCGGUGAAAUGCGUAGAUAUUGCGCAGAACUCCGAUUGCGAAGGCAGCAUACCGGAGGCGAUCUGACGCUGAGGCACGAAAGCGUGGGUAUCGAACAGGAUUAGAUACCCGAGUAGUC
rnacentral:rRNA from 1 species